GUAUUUGUCCUACCAACCGAACGUCACUUCGGGCAUGUUCGGUAGUCCUAAAAAUUCCUGUUUCAGGAAUUUUGUCCUGGCUAACGUACUAAAUCUGUCAACGUCGCAUACUUUUCAAUCUUGUUUUGUUUUGGAAUUUGACAAGAUUAACCUCAGAAAAAGUUUAAAAUUAUAAUUUUUAUGAACAUUGACGAAUAAUGUUAUGAAUAAUGUAAUAGAACCUGAUAUAAAAUAAUCCGGAAAUAUUUACAAAUAAAGCAUAAACAAAAUGAAAGUGAUAGCAACACGAUUACCUUUGAUAAUGUGUUUUUUAUAUAAGAAUACGUCUACAUGGGUUGAAAUCUCAGAAAAUAUUAAGCUAUCCACAAAUUCCUGAAAAUAAAUUAGCCGUGAUUUGCGGAAAAAAUGUUCUUAAUUAUUUUUCCCACAUGAUGUCCUUUCAGGUUCCAGGAAACAGCACGGGCAUGUAUUAGGCAUAAUAAGUAAUUAUAAAAAUAUGAGCAAAAAUGAGAUGGUUUAAAAGAGUGAAAAUUUUAAGGUUAAGAAAUCUGAAACUCAAAGGAAAACUGAUUAAAAACUGAUAAAUAAGUACCGUUAAACUGGAAAAGCAAACUACUAUACGCAUAAUACAAAAGACAAUUUAUCAUCUUUAAAACCAUAAGGCAUAUGAUAUAUGAGAUAGCACAAGGACAUAUCGGCAAGCCUUAGGUUGGUGUUUACGCGUGUAGGUGUGAAUCGCUAUGGUGAUCUGGUCGGAGAUAGAAAAAUAUAAAAUAUUUAUUACAUAACCACACUUAAUCUGAUGAUUUCCUAUGCAUUCAAUACCAAGUUCAAUACAUCUGAUUGUAAUAAGCAUAUUGGCCAUACUCUUCAUAUACAU
rnacentral:lncRNA from 1 species